rnacentral:misc_RNA from 1 species
UCAAACUUGGUCAUUUAGAGGAAGUAAAAGUCGUAACAAGGUAACCGUAGGUGAACCUGCGGUUGGAUCAUUACAAAAAAAAAGAGUAGCUGUACCUCUAAAGGGAAUUAAUUCACUUUGCAGUCUAGUACAUUCAUUUAGAACGCUGCGGUGGAUGAACCUCUUGAAGAGGUCACUACAUCUUUUUUAAACAUUGUGUGCACUUGAAUUGUUAUUGGCGGUUCGGCGAAACUGUAGUAAGCCGCUCCUGGUAUACACAUUCUGUGUACCUGCCUCCAGCGGAGGGGGCCGCCAAAGGAUUACAAAAACCAUUUGUUAUAAUUUGAGUCUUAAAUAAUUUCUGCUGGUAAUUGUGCCAGAAGGAUUCUAGCCAAAUCUAAAAACAACUUUUGACAACGGAUCUCUUGGCUCUCGCAUCGAUGAAGAACGCAGC